rnacentral:lncRNA from 1 species
UCAAAUUUUAGCAGUAUAAGGACAGGGCCAUAGCAGGUAAGGAUACAGAAGAAAUUCUGUUGCCUUUUUCUCUCCCUUUCCAAAGCAUAUGUUUUAGUCAGGGUUGAUGACUGCAAGAAGCAGGAAACUCUUCACUACCCAAACUAGUUCUAAAAGGCAAUACUCUCUCACAAGGUGUCUUCACUGACAGGAGCCUGCCAGUCUCCACUGCCCGCCUGAUGAUGCCCGCUGAGCUGGCACGGCCAGGGGCCGGUUUUGACUCUGUCGUCACGGGUUUUCCAUCCCUUUGUGAGUGGCCAGUCUCUGUCUCUCCUCCAAAUUCUGAGCACAGUGCGUCUGGUUGGCUCAAUCCCACGUACAGGUUGGUUUUUCUUAUACCCUUUCUCACCCCAGUUUAGUAACAUCCAGAGGAUGAAGUCAUAUGGCCCAUGUUUUGCCUUUCUAAGGGAUUAAAAAACAAAACUACCUGAGCU